rnacentral:misc_RNA from 1 species
UCAUCUCCCUCAGUUUAACCCUCAAGCCAUUGGCGACUGAUAUCCUUCUCCUAUCAACAAGACUACCUUCUUUAUACAGUUCUGAUAUUCUGGGAUUGAUUUCGUUGGAUUGGUCAAGUGAUUCCAGCCUUGCUUUGAUAAUCUUCGCCUUUCUAAGAACUGCAACACUGUCUGUUUCCAUUCUGUCUCUCAGGCCACGGAGAACUUUGGCACUAGAUUGGACUUGGACUCUUGAUCAAGAGCACGAAGAUCAAACAAGAGAUUAUUUAUCUCUUCCAUUUCAUCCUUGAUUGCAGCAACGUCUUGGAAGAACUGAGAGAGGUUUGAUUCAUCUGCAGGGUUGAGACAUCCAGAUUCCAUGUCAACUUCGAGUUCAAGAUCCUUCUGGGAUUGCCUUUUCGGUUCCAUAUAACUUAAGAACGAUUUUGUCAUUAGGUCAUUCAUCUUUGCAAGAAUUUUGCAAAAACACCAGCAAAACAAAUUCAGCAGACAUAAAAAACAGAAGAACCCAGAAUUGCUUAGACAUAAAGUCAGAGAAACAGAGAGCUACAUUGCCUUAACGGUAAGACAAGGAGAUUUUGGAUGGAAGAUGGCUUUGUAGAAUGAAAAGG